GUUUACUCAGUUGCCAUGACAACCUAGCCGGACACACGGGAUUUGAGAUAGACAAAGGCAGCUAAGAUGGGGGUGGACAAGGUAGCCCUCUCCUCUUCCAAGUCCUGGGAUCUACCCCUUGCUGCCAUUUUCUGCAUCGCCAUUGCUGCAUAUGUUAUUCUUGUUAUUAUCGGAUUGAGUAUAAGGCAGUGUUUGUUGAGGAAAGGUGUGUGUGGAGGAGGAUGUCCCUAUGCACUAUGUUGUAACUGUUCUCAACUUGGUCUACACUGUGCUCAAGUCUGUUGCAACUGUGGCCCAAAACCCUCGUGUACUUCUCUGCUUGACUACUGCUGUCCCACAGAUCAGGUAU